AGCAGCAGCCACGGUAAUACGGAGGGAGCUAGCGUUGUUCGGAAUUACUGGGCGUAAAGCGCGCGUAGGCGGUUACUCAAGUCAGAGGUGAAAGCCCGGGGCUCAACCCCGGAACUGCCUUUGAAACUAGGUGACUAGAAUCUUGGAGAGGUCAGUGGAAUUCCGAGUGUAGAGGUGAAAUUCGUAGAUAUUCGGAAGAACACCAGUGGCGAAGGCGACUGACUGGACAAGUAUUGACGCUGAGGUGCGAAAGCGUGGGGAGCAAACAGGAUUAGAUACCCCAGUAGUCCCUGUCUCUUAUAC
rnacentral:rRNA from 1 species